AAGAGCACGACAUUGCUCACAUUGCUUCCAGUAUUAAGUUGCCCGCCUAUCUGUGCGGGCUUUUUUU
rnacentral:antisense_RNA from 1 species